AACCUCCGCAAUGUGAGAAAUCGCGACGGGGGGAUCCCAAGUGCCAUUCUUAACGGGAUGGCUUUUCUUAAGUGUAAAAGCUUUUGGAAUAAGAGCUGGGCAAGACCGGUGCCAGCCGCCGCGGUAACACCGGCAGCUCUAGUGGUAGCUGUUUUUAUUGGGCCUAAAGCGUUCGUAGCCGGUUUGAUAAGUCACUGGUGAAAUCCUGUAGCUUAACUGUGGGAAUUGCUGGUGAUACUGUUGAACUUGAGGUCGGGAGAGGUUAGCGGCACUCCCAGGGUAGAGGUGAAAUUCUGUAAUCCUGGGAGGACCACCUGUGGCGAAGGCGGCUAACUGGAACGAACCUGACGGUGAGGGACGAAAGCUAGGGGCGCGAACCGGAUUAGAUACCCGGGUAGUCCUAGCCGUAAACGAUGCGGACUUGGUGUUGGGAUGGCUUUGAGCCGCUCCGGUGCCGAAGGGAAGCUGUUAAGUCCGCCGCCUGGGAAGUACGGUCGCAAGACUGAAACUUAAAGGAAUU
rnacentral:rRNA from 1 species